rnacentral:rRNA from 1 species
UAAGUUAAUAAGGGCGCACGGUGGAUGCCUUGGCACUAGGAGCCGACGAAGGACGUGACAAACGACGAUAUGCCUUGGGUAGCUGUAAGUAAGCGAUGAUCCAGGGAUUUCCGAAUGGGGGAACCCAACAGGUAAUACCUGUUACCUACAUCUGUUAAGGAUGUGAGGAGGAAGACGCAGUGAACUGAAACAUCUAAGUAGCUGCAGGAAGAGAAAGCAAAAGCGAUUGCCUUAGUAGCGGCGAGCGAAACGGCAGAAGGGCAAACCGAAGAGUUUACUCUUCGGGGUUGUAGGACUGCAAUGUGGACUCAAAGAUUAUAGAAGAAUGAUUUGGGAAGAUCAGCCAAAGAGAGUAAUAGCCUCGUAUUUAAAAUAGUCUUUGUACUUAGCAGUAUCCUGAGUACGGCGGGACACGUGAAAUCCCGUCGGAAUCUGGGAGGACCAUCUCCCAACCCUAAAUACUCCCUAGUGACCGAUAGUGAACCAGUACCGUGAGGGAAAGGUGAAAAGCACCCCGGGAGGGGAGUGAAAUAGAACCUGAAACCGUGUGCCUACAACAAGUUCGAGCCCGUUAAUGGGUGAGAGCGUGCCUUUUGUAGAAUGAACCGGCGAGUUACGUUAUGAUGCGAGGUUAAGUUGAAGAGACGGAGCCGUAGGGAAACCGAGUCUGAAUAGGGCGCCUUAGUAUCAUGACGUAGACCCGAAACCAUGUGACCUACCCAUGAGCAGGUUGAAGGUGCGGUAAGACGCACUGGAGGACCGAACCAGGGCACGUUGAAAAGUGCUUGGAUGACUUGUGGGUAGCGGAGAAAUUCCAAACGAACUUGGAGAUAGCUGGUUCUCUCCGAAAUAGCUUUAGGGCUAGCGUCGACAUUAGAGAUUCUUGGAGGUAGAGCACUGUUUGGGUGAGGGGUCCAUCCCGGAUUACCAAUCUCAGAUAAACUCCGAAUGCCAAUGAAUUAUGGUCGGCAGUCAGACUGCGAGUGCUAAGAUCCGUAGUCGAAAGGGAAAACAGCCCAGACCACCAGCUAAGGUCCCAAAAUAAAUUGUUAAGUGGAAAAGGAUGUGGGGUUGCACAGACAACUAGGAUGUUUAGCUUAGAAGCAGCUAUUCAUUCAAAGAGUGCGUAAUAGCUCACUAGUCGAGUGACCCUGCGCCGAAAAUGUACCGGGGCUAAAACAAUUUACCGAAGCUGUGGAUACCUUUAUAGGUAUGGUAGGAGAGCGUUCUAUGUGUGAUGAAGGUAUACCGUGAGGAGUGCUGGAACGCAUAGAAGUGAGAAUGCCGGUAUGAGUAGCGAAAGACAGGUGAGAAUCCUGUCCACCGUAAGACUAAGGUUUCCAGGGGAAGGCUCGUCCGCCCUGGGUUAGUCGGGACCUAAGGAGAGACCGAAAGGUGUAUCCGAUGGACAACAGGUUGAUAUUCCUGUACUAGAGUAUGUAGUGAUGGAGGGACGCAGUAGGCUAACUAAAGCAGACGAUUGGAAGAGUCUGUCUAAGCAGUGAGGUGUGAAUUGAGUCAAAUGCUUAAUUCUAUAACAUUGAGCUGUGAUGGGGAGCGAAGUUUAGUAGCGAAGUUAGUGACGUCACACUGCCAAGAAAAGCUUCUAGCGUUUAAACAUACUCUACCCGUACCGCAAACCGACACAGGUAGUCGAGGCGAGUAGCCUCAGGUGAGCGAGAGAACUCUCGUUAAGGAACUCGGCAAAAUGACCCCGUAACUUCGGGAGAAGGGGUGCUGACUUAAAGUCAGCCGCAGUGAAUAGGCCCAAGCAACUGUUUAUCAAAAACACAGCUCUCUGCUAAAUCGUAAGAUGAUGUAUAGGGGGUGACGCCUGCCCGGUGCUGGAAGGUUAAGAGGAGUGCUUAGCGUAAGCGAAGGUAUGAAUUGAAGCCCCAGUAAACGGCGGCCGUAACUAUAACGGUCCUAAGGUAGCGAAAUUCCUUGUCGGGUAAGUUCCGACCCGCACGAAAGGCGUAAUGAUUUGGGCACUGUCUCAACGAGAGACUCGGUGAAAUUUUAGUACCUGUGAAGAUGCAGGUUACCCGCGACAGGACGGAAAGACCCCAUGGAGCUUUACUGCAGUUUGAUAUUGAGUGUCUGUACCACAUGUACAGGAUAGGUAGGAGUCUAAGAGAUCGGGACGCCAGUUUCGAAGGAGACGCUGUUGGGAUACUACCCUUGUGUUAUGGCCACUCUAACCCAGAUAGGUGAUCCCUAUCGGAGACAGUGUCUGACGGGCAGUUUGACUGGGGCGGUCGCCUCCUAAAAGGUAACGGAGGCGCCCAAAGGUUCCCUCAGAAUGGUUGGAAAUCAUUCGCAGAGUGUAAAGGUAUAAGGGAGCUUGACUGCGAGAGCUACAACUCGAGCAGGGACGAAAGUCGGGCUUAGUGAUCCGGUGGUUCCGUAUGGAAGGGCCAUCGCUCAACGGAUAAAAGCUACCCUGGGGAUAACAGGCUUAUCUCCCCCAAGAGUUCACAUCGACGGGGAGGUUUGGCACCUCGAUGUCGGCUCGUCGCAUCCUGGGGCUGUAGUCGGUCCCAAGGGUUGGGCUGUUCGCCCAUUAAAGCGGCACGCGAGCUGGGUUCAGAACGUCGUGAGACAGUUCGGUCCCUAUCCGUCGCGGGCGUAGGAAAUUUGAGAGGAUCUGCUCCUAGUACGAGAGGACCAGAGUGGACUUACCGCUGGUGUACCAGUUGUCUUGCCAAAGGCAUCGCUGGGUAGCUAUGUAGGGAAGGGAUAAACGCUGAAAGCAUCUAAGUGUGAAACCCACCUCAAGAUGAGAUUUCCCAUGAUUAUAUAUCAGUAAGAGCCCUGAGAGAUGAUCAGGUAGAUAGGUUAGAAGUGGAAGUGUGGCGACACAUGUAGCGGACUAAUACUAAUAGCUCGAGGACUUAUCCA